rnacentral:rRNA from 1 species
UAGGGAAUCUUCCACAAUGGGCGGAAGCCUGAUGGAGCAACGCCGCGUGUGUGAUGAAGGGUUUCGGCUCGUAAAACACUGUUGUAAGAGAAGAAUGACAUUGAGAGUAACUGUUCAAUGUGUGACGGUAUCUUACCAGAAAGGAACGGCUAAAUACGUGCCAA